ensembl:snoRNA SNORD12C small nucleolar RNA, C/D box 12C
GCUGGUGUAAAGGAUGACUUCACUUUUUUCCCCAUCAGAUCGACAGUGUUGAUGUCGUUGAACACUUGCCAGUUAGUUCUGAUGCACCAGC